CAUUAUCGUAGGGCUUCGGCCCUGUCGAGAUAGAACCCUUGCCUUUUUGAGUACCUUUCGUUUCCUCGGCAGGCUCGCCUGCCAAUGGGGACCACAAAAAACACUUUGCAGUACCUGUAACAGUCUGAACAAACAAACAAAAAUUAAAACUUUCAACAACGGAUCUCUUGGUUCUGGCAUCGAUGAAGAACGCAGCGAAAUGCGAUAAGUAGUGUGAAUUGCAGAAUUCAGUGAAUCAUCGAAUCUUUGAACGCACAUUGCGCCCUUUGGUAUUCCUUAGGGCAUGCCUGUUCGAGCGUCAUUUAAACCUUCAAGCUAAGCUUGGUGUUGGGUGACUGUCCGCUUCACUGCGGACUCGCCUCAAAAUUAUUGGCGGCCGGUACAUUGGCUUCGAGCGCAGCAGAAACGCGAACUCGGGCCCGUCGUAUUGGCUCCCAGAAGCUAUCUUCACAAUUUUGAC
rnacentral:rRNA from 1 species